AGACAUUUUUGAAGAUAUAUGGGUCUGAAUGUAUACCUCUUAAGGGCUUCCAAAAUUUGGGAUUCUGUUGCUGUACCACUGAUCUGAAGCAAAAAACAGAGAAUAUUUCUCUUGUUCUUUAUUUGUAUAGAAGAAGAUAUAAAAAUAACGAAACUUUUAAUAAAGACGAAAAAAAAGUUUGCAAUUAGCAAUUUUCCUAUAUUUGCAAAUGGAAAUUGAUUUGUUAUAGAAUAUAUAUUUGACAGAAUAGAUGUACAAACAAUUGACUAAACAUCGGUACUUGCACGAUAAUAAUUUUUCUAUAAUUUUUUACACACGGGCAUAUACAGUAUACAAAAUAUAUAUUUUUAAAGUGUAACUUGAGAACUAAAUAACUACUGAUGUGUAUACAAUACGGAAUAAAUAAAUUUAACAUGUUCAAUCAUUGGGUGAAUUGUCAGCGCAUGAUUAAUAGUAUAAAUAAAUGUUAACAAUGCAUACAUUAAAAUUUAAGUCGACAAUUUAUUCUAUGAUUGAAAAUAUCAAAUUUAAAAUGCAAAAUGUAAUGCAAAACAUGAUAUAACAAUAUGAAUGAAUUCAAGGCAAAUAAAUGAUAAAAUAUAUCAUAA
rnacentral:lncRNA from 13 species